rnacentral:rRNA from 1 species
UGAUAAUUGAUUGAAAGAUGCAAGCGCAUCACUAGUAGAUGGACCUGCGUUGUAUUAGCUAGUUGGUAAGGUAAGAGCUUACCAAGGCGACGAUACAUAGCCGACCUGAGAGGGUGAUCGGCCACACUGGGACUGAGACACGGCCCAGACUCCUACGGGAGGCAGCAGUAGGGAAUCUUCGGCAAUGGACGAAAGUCUGACCGAGCAACGCCGCGUGAGUGAAGAAGGUUUUCGGAUCGUAAAGCUCUGUUGUAAGUCAAGAACGUGUGUGAGAGUGGAAAGUUCACACAGGGACGUAGC